rnacentral:rRNA from 1 species
AUUGAACGCUGGCGGCAUGCCUUACACAUGCAAGUCGAACGGCAGCAUGAUCUAGCUUGCUGGAUUGAUGGCGAGUGGCGAACGGGUGAGUAAUACAUCGGAACGUGCCCUGUAGUGGGGGAUAACUAGUCGAAAGAUUAGCUAAUACCGCAUACGACCUGAGGGUGAAAGUGGGGGACCGCAAGGCCUCAUGCUAUAGGAGCGGCCGAUGUCUGAUUAGCUAGUUGGUGAGGUAAAGGCUCACCAAGGCGACGAUCAGUAGCUGGUCUGAGAGGACGAUCAGCCACACUGGGACUGAGACACGGCCCAGACUCCUACGGGAGGCAGCAGUGGGGAAUUUUGGACAAUGGGCGAAAGCCUGAUCCAGCAAUGCCGCGUGUGUGAAGAAGGCCUUCGGGUUGUAAAGCACUUUUGUCCGGAAAGAAAUGGCUCUGGUUAAUACCUGGGGUCGAUGACGGUACCGGAAGAAUAAGGACCGGCUAACUACGUG